CCUACGGGUGGCAGCAGUAGGGAAUCUUCCACAAUGGACGAAAGUCUGAUGGAGCAACGCCGCGUGAGUGAAGACGGUCUUCGGCUCGUAAAGCUCUUUUGGUAGUGAAGAAAGAUAGAGGGAGUAACUGUCCUUUAUUUGACGUUAAUUACUUAGAAAGUCACGGCUAACUACGUGCCAGCAGCCGCGGUAAUACGUAGGUGGCAAGCGUUGUCCGGAUUUAUUGGGCGUAAAGCGAGUGAAGGCGGUUAAUUAAGUCUGAUGUGAAAUCCUUCGGCUCAACCGGAGAAUUGCAUCAGAAACUGGUGAACUUGAGUGCAGAAGAGGUGAGCGGAACUCCAGGUGUAGCGGUGGAAUGCGUAGAUAUAUGGAAGAACACCAGUGGCGAAGGCGGCUUUCUGGUCUGCAACUGACGCUGAGGCUCGAAAGCGUGGGUAGCAAACAGGAUUAGAUACCCUAGUAGUC
rnacentral:rRNA from 1 species